ACUACGGGAGGCAGCAGUAGGGAAUAUUGCUCAAUGGGGGAAACCCUGAAGCAGCAACGCCGCGUGGAGGAUGAAGGUUUUCGGAUUGUAAACCCCUGUUGUUAGAGAAGAUAAUGACGGUAUCUAACGAAUAAGCACCGGCGAACUCCGUGCCAGCAGCCGCGGUAAUACGGAGGGUGCAAGCGUUACUCGGAUUCACUGGGCGUAAAGAGCGCGUAGGCGGGUUAGCAUGUAAGAUGUGAAAUCCUAUGGUUUAACCAGAGAACGGCAUUGGACACUGGUAUUCUAGAGGACGGGAGAGGUAGGUGGAAUUCUUGGUGUAGGGGUGAAAUGCGUAGAGAUCAAGAGGAAUAC
rnacentral:rRNA from 1 species